rnacentral:rRNA from 1 species
GACGAACGCUGGCGGCGUCCUUAACACAUGCAAGUCGAACGGAAAGGCCCUGCUUGCCGGGUACUCGAGUGGCGAACGGGUGAGUAACACGUGGGUGAUCUGCCCUGCACUUCGGGAUAAGCCUGGGAAGCUGGGUCUAAUACCGGAUAGGAGCCAUUUUUAGUGUGAUGGUUGGAAAGUUUUUUCGGUGUAGGAUGAGCUCGCGGCCUAUCAGCUUGUUGGUGGGGUAAUGGCCUACCAAGGCGGCGACGGGUAGCCGGCCUGAGAGGGUGGACGGCCACAUUGGGACUGAGAUACGGCCCAGACUCCUACGGGAGGCAGCAGUGGGGAAUAUUGCACAAUGGGCGCAAGCCUGAUGCAGCGACGCCGCGGGGGGGAGGACGGCCUUCGGGUUGUAAACGCCUUUCGCUAGGGACGAAGCUUUUUGUGACGGUACCUAGAGAAGAAGCACCGGCUAACUACGUG